AUUGAACGCUGGCGGCAGGCCUAACACAUGCAAGUCGAGCGAGCGGCGGACGGGUGAGUAAUGUCUGGGAAACUGCCUGAAGGGGGGGGAUAACUACUGGAAACGGUAGCUCAUACCGCAUACCAUCAGAUGUGCCCAGGUGGGAUUAGCUAGUCGGUGGGGUAACGGCUCACCUAGGCGACGAGCCCUAGAUGGUCUGAGAGGAUGACCAGCCACACGUGAACUGAGACACGGUCCAGACUCCUACGGGAGGCAGCAGUGGGGAAUAUUGCACAAUGGGCGCAAGCCUGAUGCAGCCAUGCCGCGUGUGUGAAGAGGGCCUUCGGGUUGUAAAGCACUUUCAGCGGGGAGGUGUUACCCGCAGAAGAAGCACCGGCUAACUACGUGCCAGCAGCCGCGGUAAUAC
rnacentral:rRNA from 1 species